rnacentral:tRNA from 1 species
GGCCCGUUCGUCUAGCGGUUAGGACACCGCCCUCUCAAGGCGGAGAUCACGGGUUCGA